UGAGCUCUAAAACAGAAGGCCCAAAUUUCUGAGCUGGAGGGUCGUGGUUGUGUAGGUUCUGGAAAAUGCGAGAGACAAAAUUGUGGCUGGCAUAGAAGCAGACUGACAGAUAUGCGGGAAGAGAAGUUCUGUCUCAGUAGAAGAAGGCAUAUCUUUUAAGAAAUUGAACUGGGUAGCUGUUCCAGGAGACCUUUCUAUUAAAUGAAAUUGGAUCAACUCAUGAUUAUGUGAGCCAAAGUUAUGUCCAAUUUACCACUUUUCUCUCGUGAUUUUGCUGUUCUCCUGGAACCAAAUUUGACUUAGCAUCUCAUCUUGGUUGAGUAGGAGGAUAGAUGAUGGAGAACAGGAUUGGUUAUCACAUACAUGAGUAGUUGGGGUCUCCUUUUGUUGGUGGCUUUUAUUUAUUUCCAGAUCUAUAUCAGGAAAAUUAAAGUCAUUCAUGAUAACAUAAUGCAGAUUGGUAUAUUGUCCAAGAUUGCAGGUCUAUAGCACACCCUUAAUUUUAACUCAGUUGGAACCACUCUUGUCAUUCUUGCUUCAAGAGAUCUUAGGCCACACUGAUUAUGACUGAUUGUUCACACAUUAUUAUCAUCAGUACAGUUGUGUUGUUGGAUGUAUAAUGCAAUCUUAUCAUUAGCUCAGUCUUUCCUUUAUAGCUCAGACUCAUCAAUGUCAGCAUUUCA